UUGCUUUAGCAGCACAUAUACUAAAAUUAGAACGAUACAGAGAAGAUUAGAAUGGCCCCUGCUCAAGGAUGGCACACAAAUUCUUGAAGUGUUCCAUAUUUUU